rnacentral:lncRNA from 1 species
UCGAGUCUCAUUGGGUCGGGUCGGUCUUCUAAGUUGGCGGGGCCCUGCGGGACCGGUCUGCUUGACCCGACCGCGCUCGCAUUGGAGAGCCGAGGCUCGAUCGGUCUGCCGGGCUGCAUAACCCCGGCCCCGCAGCAGCGGCGUCCCUCGCGCGCCGCCGCGUUUCCCGCGCUCUCGGCCCGUACUUCCCGGCGCGGCCUACAAGGCCCCGCGCGGCCCCGCCUCCGGGUCCCGCUUGGUCUCCGGCUGCGAGAGGGAAGGCGGAGGUUAUCCGCCGAGGGACAAGCGGCGCGGACCGAGGCAAAAGAAGCAUUACAGAAUUUACUGUUAACCUGUGUCCCUAAAACUGCUCUUAAAGAAAAGGGGUGUUUUCACCUGAAUGAUUCAGACUGUGUGGCCGCUUCAGGGAUAAUUGGAACUCUCCUGUGUGGAUAUGGUUUUAAUGUCCAGAUGCUUAGCCUCGUCACAAAUAUUCCCUUAAAUAUGGGGUUCCUGAGCAGAAGGGAAAAUGAGCUUAAACAUGAGGCUUGGAGGAGAAAGAAGGGCUGGGGAGAAAUAUGGUCUCUGGAAAACACUAAGGGUACUCUCACAAUUUGUUUGGCUUGUCUGGCUUUGGCACAACUGGAUUUGGAAAAUCAUGUUGGAAUGUGAAUCCAAAGCAUCAAAUUUUAUGAAAGCAAAGUGUUAUCCCAAAAGUGUCAAGCAGCCAAGUGGUACCAGUUUCAACAAUAGUGCCAGAAUGUUUUUCAGAAAGACAGUUUUUGUUUAAAUCUCAGCUUUUUGUCUGACAUCUAUAGUUAGUCUGUUUGUCCCGGAGAAAGACAAAGAGCCAGCAGCACCUGAAGCUUUUAUCUUUUACUUCCUUUGGAAAGUUAUUUGACAUUCCUGCUGUGAUUUCAUUAUUUUAUUUAUUAUUCUUUUACUAAAUCACUUAGUGAUAAGACAUAGUUAGAAGGAAGAUUCACAUUUUGUAAAAUAUUACAUGCACUUUAGAUGAAU